UGGUGAAAUAAUUAGCAAAAAAUUAGCAGCUGAAAAUAUUAACGAGAUUCUGACUAAGGAUUGGCUACAAACAACACAAAUUAGUUUAUACAUCAGGUACUUAUAUCAUACUUUUGUGGUGCCGGGCUCAUUGAUAACAAAAUUUUCAUUUAUUAGCCCGCACAACACUAGUACCUACAGUGUUGAGUACCAUUCUCAAAAGAUUACUGAUGCAUUCAAAGUCAAAGGCAAAAGAAACAUGUUAUUUUUAGCUCCUCACAAUCCAGGUUAAUGAACUAUUUUAUUUUUUCAGGCAACAUUGGGUGCUUGUUUGUAUCAAUCCAUUCGUCCCUGUGAUUUAUUAUCUUGAUUCAUUAAGAGAUAGUGACUUUAAGAACUACAAAUCUAUGAGGAUAUUAUUUAAUCAGGCUGUAGCACGUUAUCGAGGAGGUGAAGGUCUCCCUCCAAACACCGAAAGACCUGAUCCUGUUGAGUUUUAUUCUUGGAAAAGAAUAAAGAAUUUUUGAAAAAUUCUGGAACUUCCAAGUUAUAGGGGAGACUCUGCCGGAUUUUCGACAGCAAAUACUUGUACCUACACAAUUACAAGGUUGGGAGUGUGGAUACUAUGUUAUGAAGUUUAUGAGAGAAGUAAUCACACAACAAGAGUUGAUCAUUC